AUAAAGUUUUAUUUUGGCUUUAAAAUUUAUUAAAAGUUUAAUUUAUAUGUAAAUUUAUGUGUGGGAUUUAAUUAUUUUAAUAAUAAAUUUUUAUUCAAUAAUUAGUUUUAUUAAUUAAAGAAAUUUAUAAAUAGUAAUAUAUUUAGUAUUGAUAAAAUUUGUGCCAGCAAUCGCGGUUAUACUUAUAAUACAAAUAAAUUUAUUUAGUUAAAGUUAAAUAAUUUAAAUUUAAAUAUUAAUUAAUUUAUUAAGUGAAAUUUUUAAAUUAUUAAGAUUUUUAUAAUAGUAUAAUUGAAACUUGUAAAUUUUAUAUAUAAACUAGGAUUAGAUACCCUAUUAUUUAAAAUAUAAGGAUUUUACUAAGGUAAUAAUAGAAUAUGUUCUUUAAAUUUAAAAAAUUUGGCGGUAUUUUAGUCUAUUCAGAGGAAUUUGUUUUAUAAUCGAUAAUCCUCGUUAAAUUUUUCUUAAUUUUGUUAUCAGUUUAUAUAUCGUCGUUAUUAGAAUAUUUUUUAAAAAAGUUAAUUUUCAUAAUUUUUAAUUUUAAAAUAUAUCAGAUCAAGGUGUAGCUUAUAUUUAAGUAAAAAUGAAUUACAAUAAAGUUAUUUAUAUGAAUAUAAAUUUUAAAUGUUUAUUGAAGGUGGAUUUGAUAGUAAAAUUAUAUAUAUAUAUAUAUAUAUAUAUAUAAUUAAUAUAAUAAUUUGAUUUUAGCUCUAAAAUAUGUACAUAUCGCCCGUCACUCUUAUUUUUAAAAUAAGAUAAGUCGUAACAUAGUAGAUGUACUGGAAAGUGUAUCUAGAAUGCA
rnacentral:ncRNA from 1 species